AUGUCCUCUCAGGCUUUCCAUCUACUUUCCCUUUUAUAUCUUCAGGUUGUCUGUGCAUCAAUGGAAGUCCUAUAUACAUCUCUCCAAGAUGAGAUCCAGUCCUUUGAGGAACACAUCAGACAUUGCCAGCAGGCUUUUGAUAUUCACAUUUUGGUCAAUGUGCUGCGGCUGUCAUUCCCAGAAGAUGGUGGUGCAGAGGAUAUUCAGAGCAUAGAGCAGCUUCAAAAGCUUGUUGACUCUAGAGAGUGGGGUAGACAGGUUAUUAUGACAACUACCCAUGAGAAGUAUGACAUUCCCAGCUACAUUUCUUGGUUUGUCUCUUACAUUAAGUACCUAAGCUCUUUGAAAGAGACGUUUGAUGACAAGGUUGUGUUUCCUUUGUGUGAGAACCUCUAUGUUAAUGAUGAUGUACUUGAUUCAUUGCCCUUUGGACAUAGAGGAGGAGGAAUUAGCUGUCAUGCUACAACAUCUGUUGCACAUACAGCCAAGCAGUUGUUUGCUAUCAGGAGGAAAUGGGCUUUGCUCUUGAAAAGGAAUGUGAUUGAUGAACAAGUCUUCAGUCCACAAAGCCUGAUUGAUCUGCAGGGCUUUGCCAACAUCCAACCCUUUGUGAAGGUAAUUAGGCUGGUUCCUGACUUGUUCCACAAGAGCUUGGCUGCUGCCGCACUUGCCAGGCAGUGGGUGGAACUGCAUGCAAGCCAACACAACUCCCAACUAGCAGACUUAGAUCCAAGCUCAGCUGGGAAAAGCAAUUGCAUGGGAUUGACUAGCUCAAAAUUGCAAGGAUAUAGUCUGCCUAUUUGUACACCUGAAUUAUCCAAAAGCCAGCCUGAUUCCAUGGAGAUUUUGUAUCAGGCCAAAGACAAAAGCAGCAACGAUGAGAGUACCUGUAUAAGAACCACCAACCAAGAAAGGAGUAAGCUACGUGAGAUCCAUGAGGAACUUAUGUCCUUGCUAUCGCGGGAGCAACGCUCUCGGACUCUGGAAGCAGAAAUUCAGGAGGUAAACCUGAGGAUUUCUAAUCUGCAACUUCAGCAGGAGACUAAGAAGCAGGAGCUGGAAGCCUUAAAGCAGCAGUUGGAGGCCGACAACUGGAGUGUGCCCAUCAGACAGUGCCAGACACUCCUUUCUGAGGUGGAUGCCUUGGGGAAACAGCUGAAGUUGGAGCAGUAUCACAAGAGUAUCCUGCUGGGUGAUUGGCUACUAGAGCUGGAGAUCAGGCCCAUCCUUGUGCAACCGAUUCAUAGAGUAAGGAUGGGGCUAAGAUAA
rnacentral:lncRNA from 1 species